UAAAAGGGAAAGAAAAAAAAUAGAGAGCAUUAUGCUCUUGGUGCCGUCGGUCUAGUGAGAGAAGGAGAGAGAGAAUGGACGAGUUAGAGAGAGAAAGAGAAGGAGGAAAAAAAGAGGAAGAAAAAGGGUUCAAUCCUAGGGCUUGAACAAGGGGCGAUUAUAGUUUGAGUAUUGGUCACUUUGGGUGCUCUUGAUUUUACAAUCAAGAGAGGUAAUGAAUCCUUAGCCCUUUUGAUUUUAUGUUUUAUUGGCUAUGAUUUUAUGUGAGGUUGUGAUUGAUAGGGUUCAUAUGUUCAUGAUUAUGAGUUUGGGGGUAGAUUGUUAAUUGAGGGUUUUGGCCUAUGGGGUUUGAGGUAUGUUGUGUUGUUUGAUUUUUGUGUCACAUAUACAUGUUAGAAAACAUGCUAGAAAUUUCUUGGGUUUUGGAAAAACAUUAAGGGAUGGGAGCAUGAUGUGGGUUUCGGCCCUAGGGUAUCUUGUAGCAUGUUUAUGCAUGUUUGAUCUUGAGAUGUGCCUAUGAUUUAAAUGUCUUUGUGAUUUUAGGGAUCUUUCUUGUAAGAUUGUUAUUUCAAUUUGGUUAGAUCCAUGUUCUAGGAUCCUAUGUAAAUAUUGGCAUGAUAAUUUAUUUGGAUUUCUUGUUUGAGUCCAUGAAAGUUGAAGAAUGUGUUUAUGAGAAUUUUGUGAUAUAUUUUGUUGUGAAUCUUAGGUGUGUUUCGGCCUAGGGAUGAUUAUUCAAGCAUGUUAGUUCACCUUUAUGUGUUCAUGUCAUUGUAAUCUUAGAAACAUGAUAGGUUGUUUGUGAGAUUUUAAAUGGGUCUAUGAUAAUUUUGCUUUUUUUUGGAUUACUUGAAUGAUAGAAACAUGCUAGGGUUUGUGUUAAAUUUUGUUGAUUUAACAUGUAUGAAUUUUGGUGAGGCAUGAUGAAAAUGAUGAAUUUCAUGACUUUAUAUUCUUCCUGAUUUUGUGUAUAAAUGGUGUGAAAUAUGAUGAAAUUAAUGAUUUUGCAUGCUUAAAUGAUUUUGCAAAUGCUAUGAUGUUUUAAGAAAUUAAAAGGAAUUUUAAUAUACAUUAAAAUGGUGUUUUUACUCAAAUAAAUACCUAAAAAAAAUUAAAAGAAAAUAUGAGGUUUUAAAUUCAAGAUGAUGAUUUUUGAAAGUUUAUUUUGUUGCUGGAAUUUUGGUAAAAAUAUUGGGAAGUCUUUUAAAUGAAAUAAAGUUUGUGUGUUUGUUGAAAUAAUAUAGCACUUAAAUUAUGUAAAUAUUAAAAAUAGUAUUUUUAAAUGUAACCAUGAGUGUCCAUUUUAAUAAAUAUGAUUUUCUUUAUUUUAAUGAAGAAAAAUGUUGAGAUUAAUUCACUUGUGAUUUUUAAAUAAAUUAAAUGGUGGCUGAAAGUUUAGUUUAAUAAUUUAAAACUAAUUAUUGGAUUAUCACUUAUGAAUUUAUUCUACUUAAAAUUAAGUCUUAAAAUAAUACAAGUAAAAUAUAUUUUUCCCACACCUAAAAAUUAUAUAUUUUUUUCUCACAUCAUGUUUGUAAUUUUAUUAAUUUAGAUAAAAUUGUUAUUUUCUAAGGAAACAUGUUAAUUAUAAGUAUUUUAAAUCAUUUCUAGCCUUUAUUAUUUCUAUGUAAUUUAAAAAUAAUAAAUGGAGUUAUUAUAUUUUUAAAUGAUUAAAUAAAUUAUUUUUAUGAAAUAAAAAUAAUGUUUUAAAGAGGUUUAAUCAACUUAGUGAUUUUAAAAGAAAUAAAUAAUGGUAAGAAAGUAUGUGCUAAUCCUUAAUUUGAAAUGAUAGAAAUAAGUGCGUAGAAAUUAUCAUUUUUAACGUCACUUUUUAACAACGUUCCCACGUAUGCAUGUCUCAUGCAAAUGCACUUUUAUGUUAAAAAAUGUGUCUAAUAUUCAACCAUAUGAUUUUUAUUUAAAAACCAUGCAUGUAACAUAGGUAUAAUUUGCAUUAUUCUUUUGGUGAUUUUAUGUGUAAUUAUGCCUUUUUGGAAAUUAUGAGUAGUUUUCACCACGUGUGCAUGGCUCACAUGCACUCAUGGGGUAUAUGAGUUGGGCACAAGAAAGUAUUAUGUAAUGCUAAAAAAUGUUAUUUGAUUAUGGUUAUAGGCUCAUUGUGAAGUUUGUCAGUAUUUGCUUUGCUUGGACCUGAGGAAAGGAAGUUGGAUAGAAUUUUGUUUAUUUAUGUUGUGAAUGGUAAGAUUGUUUGAUGAUACAAUGCUAUGUACGAUGAUAUGUUUUGCGAUAUGAAGUAUGAAAUGAUAUUUUGUGGUGAUGUGAUGAUGUUGAUAAAUCAUGAAAUUUCCUUUGUGUUGAUGUGACUAGAUUGUAUGUGAUUUGAAUGUUGUAUGAUAUGUAAUGGUUGUUAGCGUGAUAAACGCGAUACAACAAAGGGGUUGCUAAGGAUAUGGAGACGUAACCCGGGUUACUAAGGAUGUAAAGACGCAACUCAUAGGACGGACGCGCUGAGGUUAUUCAAGGACCAGAGAUCCUGUUUACCUCUAGAUGUGACAUGGACAAGUUAGCAGGGAAUAUUUUGUAUUCUUGGGCUCUUGAAAAACAAGAGCAAUGAAGGAAAGGAAAAAGAAAUAAAACUAGAAUAAAUAAAGCAAAAUAUGGCAUUUUUGAGAAGGGAAUGAAGCUGCCGAGGCCCACACCUGCCCAGGCCCGAAGCUGCCUCCAGUCGCCUGCUCCUUGCCCUCCCAGCCACUUGGGCCCGAGUCUACCCCAGCCCAAGCCCAAAGCCAGCCUUCUUUCUCCACACACGGACUCGCCUGCCCCACGGCCCAUCACACCUCAGCUUCCUCACAGCCCACCGAGCCCAGCAGCCUUCUGCCCAGUUCGGCCCACCCGAAGCUGCCCAGCCAGCCCACCGAGCCCAGUAGCCACUCCCUAGUCCAGCCGCCUGCCACUACCCACCAAGCCACCCUCCUCUCCUCUUGAGCCCAUUUUGUCCCCUUGUCCUCUUGUCCCUAAAAUGCCAAAUUUUACCCAAGUUUUCUACACAUUUCACCACAAAAAUCAUCAGUAUACCCUAUAAUUUACCUCUACAUGCCAUAUCUACUUUGUUUAAUUAAUUUAAUCAAUUUAAGUUGAUUAUUUUAAUGCUCUCGUUUUGGCUAUAAAUAGGGAAUUUCAAGACCAUUUUAUAGUGCUUAAUUUUUUGUAACCAUCUUUUCUACCAUUUUCUCCCUACCACUCUCUUUUCCAUUUUAGUGUUUUUCAAGAGUAUUUUCAAGUAUGUAUUUUAUUUAUUUUGUAAUUUCUAUUCUAGUUAUGUGCUUCUAAUCUUUUUCAUAAGAUUAUUACGAUCAUGAUGAAGCAACUUGUAACUAGAUAAUAUUUAUGUUGUAUGUUGGUUUCCUUUAUAAUGCAACA